rnacentral:rRNA from 1 species
GACCGGCGAACGGGUGCGUGCGCGUAUGCAACUUACCUUUUACUGGGGGAUAGCCCGGGGAAACUCGCAUUAAUACCCCAUGGUAUUGUUUGAGGGCUUCUGAAGACAAUUAAAGAUUUAUUGGUAAAAGAUGGCCAUGCGUAAAAUUAGCUAGUUGGUGUGGUAAUGGCACCCCAAGGCGACGAUCUUUAGGGGGUCUGAAAGGAUGAUCCCCCACACUGGUACUGAGAUACGGACCAUACUCCUACCGGAGGGAGCAAUAGGGAAUAUUGGUCCAUGGACGAGAGUCUGAACCAGCCAUGCCCCGUGCAGGAAGACGGCCUUCUGGGUUGUAAACUGCUUUUAUACGGGAAGAAAAGGCCCAUGCCCGGGACAUUGCCGGUACCGUACGAAUAAUCACCGGCUAACUCCUUGCCAGCAUCCGCGGUAAUACGGAGGGUGCUAGCGUUGUCCGGAUUUAUUGGGUUUAAAGGGUACGUAGGCCGCUUUUUACGUCAGUGCUGAAAUCCCGCAGCUUACCUGUGGAACUGCCAUUGAUACUGGAAAGCUUGAGUAUUGUUAAGGUACGCCGAAUUGAUGGUGUAUCGGUGAAAUGCAUACAUACCAUCAGGAACACCGAUUGCGAAGGCAGCUUACUGGGCAAUAACUGACGCUCAGGUACGAAAGCGUGGGGAGCGAACAGGAUUAGAUACCCUGGUAGUGCACGCUGUAAACGAUGAUCACUCGCUGUUGGCGAUACACAGUCAGCGGCCAAGCGAAAGCGUUAAGUGAUCCACCUGGGGAGUACGCUCGCAAGAGUGAAACUCAAAGGAAUGGACGGGGGUCCGCACAAGCGGUGGAGCAUGUGGUUUAAUUCGAUGCUACGCGAGGAACCUUCCUUGGGCUAGAAUGUGAGCAAUAUUGUGAGAGAUCAGAAGUUCUUCGGACAUGAAACAAGGUGCUGCAUGGCUGUCAUCAGCUCGUGCCGUGAGGUAUUGGGUUAAGUCCCGCAACGAGCGCAACCCAUAUUCUUAGUUGCCAGCACAUAAUGGUGGGGACUCUAAGGAGACAGCCUGCGCAAGCAGAGAGGAAGGAGGGGACGACGUCACGUCAUCAUGCCCGUUACGCCCAGGGCUACACACGUGAUACAAUGGCCGGUACAGAGGGUAGGGACACAGUGGUGUGAAGCCAAUCUCAAAGAGCAGGUCUCAGUUCGGAUAGUAGUCUGCAACUAGAAUACGUGAAGCGGGAAUCGCUAGUAAUCGCAUAUCAGCAAAGAUGCGGUGAAUCCGUUCCCGGACCUUGUACACCCCCCCCGUCAAUCCAUGGGAGUUGGGUAUGCCUGAAGACCGUUG